rnacentral:rRNA from 1 species
UACGUAGGGGGCAAGCGUUGUCCGGAAUCAUUGGGCGUAAAGCGCGCGUAGGCGGCCCGGUAAGUCCGCUGUGAAAGUCAAAGGCUCAACCUUUGAAUGUCAGCGGAUACUGCCGGGCUAGAGUCCGGAAGAGGCGAGUGGAACUCCUGGUGUAGCGGUGGAAUGCGCAGAUAUCAGGAAGAACACCAACGGCGAAGGCAGCUCGCUGGGACGGAACUGACGCUGAGGCGCGAAAAGCGUGGGGGAGCGAACAGG